UCUCAAGCCCUGCCUUGCAUUGGGGUAGAU
rnacentral:piRNA from 1 species